rnacentral:misc_RNA from 1 species
GAUGAAGAACGUAGCGAAAUGCGAUAAGUAAUGUGAAUUGCAGAAUUCAGUGAAUCAUCGAAUCUUUGAACGCACAUUGCGCCCGCCAGUAUUCUGGCGGGCAUGCCUGUUCGAGCGUCAUUACAACCCUCAGGCCCCCGGGCCUGGCGUUGGGGAUCGGCGGAGCCCCCCGUGGGCACACGCCGCCCCCCAAAUGCAGUGGCGGUCCCGCCGCAGCUUCCAUCGCGUAGUAGCUAACACCUCGCGACUGGAGAGCGGCGCGGCCACGCCGUAAAACACCCAACUCUUCUGAAGUUGACCUCGAAUCAGGUAGGAAUACCCGCUGAACUUAAGCAUAUCAAUAAGCGGAGGA